UACAAUUCUUAUUUUCGAUAAUAUAUAAUAUAUUGAAGAUAUGUUUAACGGGAACACGACUGAAAAUAACUUUUAUGGAAUUAUAAUAUUAUUUCGUAUCAAAAUUUAUAAAAAAAAUUAUUUAUUAGUAUUGUGUUUAAGGGGAGGACGGCCCAAAUUAAUUUUUACCUAAAUAAUAAUAUUUUUUUAUUAGUAUUAUGUUUGACGGGAAAGUAGCUAAAACAAUAUUUUGGUCUAAAUUUAUAAAAAAUUCAUAACGCCGCCGCGAAGCGCGGCUUUU
rnacentral:lncRNA from 1 species